GUUGAAACAUCAGUUCCCGUACGAUCACCGAAGUUAAGCAACGUCGAGGUUGGUCAGCACCUAGAUGGGUAACUGAUAGGGAGUACCAGGAGUUGUAAG